GGAUAUUGUGGCUGGAGACAUGAGCAAGAAAAGCCUCUGGGAGCAGAAGGGAGGCUCCAAGACCUCAUCAACAAUUAAGAGCCAGCUCAAUCACUUCUCCAGAAAGACUUACUGAGUCCUCUGCACUGAACAGGUGUCCUGUGCUCCAGGAGAGCCCUGGGCUGGCUCCUAGUGUAGCCAUUAUGACCCUGGAAUGCACCAUCUUUCACAUCACUGCCUGGCCUUCUAGAAUCUCAGCUUCUUAAAUCAAGAAAUUGUGUCUUGUUCAUGUCUGAAUUCCCCAAGUGAACACAGUGAGUGGGUGCUUGACAAAUCUUUGUUGGUAAUGAGCAAAAAAGGGGAUUCUGUGCCCAAUACCAUGAAAUCAAUGCACAGAAGAUUCAAUCAAUCAAGAAAGGUGCACAGACGCUGGCCACACACACUGACAUUUGUUUUCAGAUGUUCCAGUCCCCCUGACUUCCACCAACCCAUUCAUUCAUUCCACAAGCAUUUUUGCUGGGGUGGAAGCAGGGCCAUACAGGGUGUGUAAGUAACAGAUAGGGUGGGUUUGUAUAAUGAGUAUAAAAAACUUCUAGCAGAAGAUGACAAAGUAUAUCAAGAAAGGGCUCUCUUCGAAAUCACACCACUGCACUCCAGCCUGGGUAACAGAGGGAGAUUCCAUCUAAAAAAAAAAAAAAAAAAAAAAAAAAAAACAGGGAUGGGGGCAAGGGAGCUCUUUUUUUCCAGUUAGCACAAGAUUGCCAUUUCAGCUAGGGAUUCUGCUGCAACUAUCUCCCAGACCCUAUUCUAGGGCCCGGGGAUAGAAACAGAAUCAAAAACAUAUUCCUUGUCUUUUUUGGGCUUAUAUUAUUGAGGAGAGAGAAAUAAACAAUUUCAAAAUAAACAAUGUCAUACAGUGCUAAGUGCUAUAAA